UUGUUUUUUGAGUAACUUCUAUGCCCAACUUGGGGCUCGAACUCAUGACCCUGAGAUCAAGAGUUGCAUGCUCUACCAUCUGAGCCAG
rnacentral:snoRNA from 1 species